UCACUGAUAGCAACCAUCAUAAUGCCCCACCCAGCUCCCGGCACCUUUCGCCACUCCGGCACAAACCGACACAGCUUUGCGAUCUCGCCAGCAUGCAGAGUCUGAUGUCUUCCCUAUAGAUGAUUCCAGAGACUCUGUGAAGCCACUAUUACAAGGUGAGACGCUUUGCGUUGAUUGGUGCUGCUGGACCACACUGGAGGUGCGAGUCAGCCGUGUAAUGGUUUA